CCUACGGGUGGCAGCAGUGGGGAAUAUUGGGCAAUGGGCGCAAGCCUGACCCAGCAACGCCGCGUGAAGGAAGAAGGCUUUCGGGUUGUAAACUUCUUUUAAGAGGGAAGAGCAGAAGACGGUACCUCAGGAAUAAGCCACGGCUAACUACGUGCCAGCAGCCGCGGUAAUACGUAGGUGGCAAGCGUUAUCCGGAUUUAUUGGGUGUAAAGGGCGUGUAGGCGGGAAAGCAAGUCAGAUGUGAAAACUCAGGGCUCAACCCUGAGCCUGCAUUUGAAACUGUUUUUCUUGAGUGCUGGAGAGGCAAUCGGAAUUCCGUGUGUAGCGGUGAAAUGCGUAGAUAUACGGAGGAACACCAGUGGCGAAGGCGGAUUGCUGGACAGUAACUGACGCUGAGGCGCGAAAGCGUGGGGAGCAAACAGGAUUAGAUACCCCAGUAGUC
rnacentral:rRNA from 1 species